ACCAGCGCGUCCUUCUCUUGCACGCCACGCGCGCGACGCCUUCUUCCUCCUCCCUCCAGAGGCCACAGUCCCACUCCCCCCAACCCUAUCCAAAUGCUUCCAUUCGUCUCUGCACUGCACGCACCCUCCCCCCACCUCCGACGAUAGAUUCAGGCGCCUGACGGAACUCAACUUCAAUGGCCGGCGCCUAGAUACAGCCCACACCAAGCAAAGCAAGCGUCCCUGCACCUUGCUCCUGCCGUGCAUCCAUCCACGUGCUUCUAGUCUUCUACUAGCUUCUUCAUCGACGUGCUAAGAUGGCUCGGGCGAAUCGGAACCAGAGGUCCUGCGCGCGUUGCCACCGGGACCUCCCGGGCUGCUCCUGCGGCCGCGGCGGGCGCGGGCACGCCCGUCGAUCCGCCCGGCUCGGCCGCGGCCGCGACCCCGGCGGCGCCGACCGCAUCAGCGCCCUGCCCGACGACCUGCUGCUCCAGAUCCUCAACCCGCCCAGAUCGCCUCGCUGCUCAACGCCGCCGCGACGCUGCAGCCGGAGAACCUCGCCGUCACCGUCGCCGCCAAAGUUGUUGGGCCCGUCCCCGGCUUGGUGAUGCUGCCCCGCCUCGACGGCACCAGGUCCAUCACGCUGGAUGUGCAUGGCGUCAGUCUGAUCACGCCCCAGUUAGGGGACAUGCCCGACCUCGAGAGCCUGUCGCUUCGUCGCUACGACGUCCUCCUAGCUAGCCUGCUCCACCGCUGCUCCGCCCUGCGUAGCCUUUCCAUCUCCAAUCUGCACCUUGACUACAUCACGAUCAGCCUGCCCUUGCUCGAGGAGCUUUUUGUGUCGGCCAGGGCGCGGCUCCGGUGAGUUGUCAUCAAAGCCCCUAGGCUUAAGAAGCUGACGUUUCGGGCCAUAGAGGGUGUCCUGGAUGAUUUCUCCCUGUGCUACAUGGCACCAGAGGUGGAGCAUCUCUCAUGGCAAUGCGCUAGCGGAGCAUCACAUGUUCACUUUGGUGAUAUUUGGAACCUGAUGUCCGUGACCAUGAAGACAUCGGAGCCUCAAGGGCAGCUGCCGCACAGCCCUCCCUCCAACGCCUUGUCGCUCAACAUAUGUGAAUGGCUGCUGUUUGAUCAGGAAGAAGGUGCAGCCCUGAGCUUUGACUUUGAGCAGUACAUAUCAUCCCGCUGUCCUAUUGCCAACAUUUCUACUUUAGAGCUGUGCAUCACCUCCAGCGGACAUGUCUGCGGAGCACUGGUCCUGCACCUGCUGGAGGUUUAUACCUUGAUAAAGAGGCUUAAGGUGGACCUGUGUAAGUUUCAGGCGGGAAGAGAAUGCAGUGCGAACUGCCCCUGUAUUCAGUUGAAUAACUGGAGAAAUCAGACUGUCUCCUUGACUCAUCUGAAUGUGUCGUGGCUCAAGGAGGAGGGCCACAGCCGGGUGUCGUAGUGCACCCGCCUAAUCCCAGAGGGUUGUUAUUCGGGGAAGUGCAAGCGAUUCGACAGAUCUACUUAUGAAGCAAGAACACAAGAACACACGGGGAUUUAGAGUGGUUCGAGCCGCUGGAGCGUAAUACCCUACGUCCACUGAGAGUUCUAUUGCUCUUGUGUCCGUGGAUGAGUCUAUCCUCUGCCUCUAAGUCCCUUUUGAGACCUGAGUCCUUCUCUAGCGGGCGUCCCCCUUUUAUAGCGCAAGGAGGACGCGUACACAGGUGUUGGACCCCGACAGGUGGGCACAAUAAGGAUGUAUAGUUUACCAUGAGAAAGACAUUAACAGUGCUUUGUGAAUCAACUUCCGGAUACGCUUCAUCGCCCUGUAGACUCUCUGACCGAGGGGGGUCUUCACCUGUCCCAUCGGUGAGGCGCCUGUUGAGGCGGUGUAGGUUGCGGCGUAGACUGUUGGGUCUACCGCGUAGGCGUUAUUAUACUCCGUCGCCGAGCUGUCGUGUCUAAUUGGCGUUGCAGACUGAUGCGCGUGGCGUGGGCGGCGCCAGAGGCUGCAUUGUGCGCCUUGGUAACGCGCGGUCAAUAGUACAGCCUGGCAAAAGUCACCUCGGGCUCUGUUGUGGCAGAGCGCACUCACGUCUCCCGCAUUGAAUGCGGUAGGUGGGCGAAUCUUCCCGGGGAAGCUUCGCGGCCGCGCACGUGCCUGCGCCUGCGGACACGUGGCGGCUCCGGACCCCCCAGGCGGGGUGUCUGUUCCCUCCACGCUGAGGGGUCCGGAUAGUAUUUGGGGGUCCGGGGCCCCGGCUGUUUUGGCUGAGCGCUCCGUUCUCCGGGACACAUGGUGAUACCGAACCCGUCCCCGAGCGGAAAGCGGGUCCGGGUCCGUUGGUCCGGUGAGAUGGAGUCGGACCCCAGGGGUCCGGCUGUUCAGCUCUUUAGGGCGUAGUUACGGAUAACUACGCGAGUCUUGACACAACAAGAGGGGGUACCCUAGUCCAGAGGUACCGACAGAAUGAAAUGGAAAUUAAAGGCGUUAGAGGGGAGGAUCAUGAAAUUGAUAUAUUGAAAGUGAUAUUAAGAAGUGCAGCGAGGCUUGAAAGAUUGACCAUCACAUUCAAGACGAAGUCUAAACAACACAUUCGCCGCUUUUCCAGUAGAAUGCAAAGCAUCUUGAAGGCACAUCUGUCAGUGAAGUGCGGAAUUUAUCGCUGUUCUGGUGAGCAGGUGUUGUUUGCAUGACUAGCUUACUUGUAGAUGUGAAAAGGUAUGAUAUGCUUUUUGUCCCAACCUUGUUGAAAUUAGAAGCCAUGCUUUAUUAAUCACUAUUCUGCCAUUCCCUUAUAGUUUUGCUUUUAUACGUUGAAACGAGGUGUGGUAUACUGGCUAGUGUGACAACUUUUGGAUGGACUGGUGUUAGUUUCUUAGGUUUCCUUGUAACUAGCUAUUCCGUCACUUAGGCAUGUAGUAGAGUGAAGUGGAAGACAUUCCCUGGAUGCUAUGAUCAUGUAGCCAUUAUGUUUGGCUAACUUAAUUUGCUUAUAAAGGACUAGUAGGUGAGAGUUGACCAGUCAUUUAUGCUCUUACUGAUUCUGCUGUCUGCUGAAAAAUGUUGGUAGGAAGUCUGUCUACUGCUGUAGUUGUCGAUCAAAAUCAGGAUGAGGUCUGUUGUUGUGUAUUUGACUACUUGCAAUUGCAAUUUUGUUGUGAGAUAUUUAGUGUAGCACCGUUGCAAUGUUCUGACACAGUUUUCUGCCUAUUUCUCUGUCAGGGUUUGUAUGCUAUUUUAUAAUUACAACAUAGUUUUCAAUUGUUUUAUUGAACUUGUGCUUCUGCUGCUUUUAUUUGCUCGGCUCUUUUAAGUUCAGCCCUUGGUCCUAUUUCAGUUUUAUGAUGCAAGAACUGUGAUAUUUUUCUUAAAACAUGGUUUUUACUUUGCUCAUACUACUGCACUUUCCAAGUGUGCUGCUGAAUUUCGUCCUAUAAUAAUCAUGUUUUCUUGAUGAUAAUUCUUCAUUGUGACUUGCGAUACUUGUUCGAAAAGAUACAUUUCAAUUAUCUCAUGUAGUUUGUUCUAAAUUUACCAGGUUCCACUGCAGUUAAUUUUGAUGGAGCCUAAACAGCCUGAAGCUAUUAAGGUGGCUGGAGUUUUGCCAGCAUCCUCAUCCAUUUCCUAAAUUCCAAGUGUCUCAAGUGGCAUCACAUUAGAGUUCCAAGGGGAGGUUAUGUAUCAAGGGGAAGAGAUGCUGCUGUUAACGUGCAUUUGGGAUGAACUUAUCUAAUGAAAAGUAUUAAUGUAAUAUCUUUGGCAAUGUAUCCCCGGAGCAUUAUGUUAGGGGAAACAUAUGAUAUAGUAGCCCUGCUGGUGGAUCAUGCUCUUAUUAGUAGAAAUUGUGGACUUAUCUGGCAAAUAUUUAUAUCUGCGUUUUACUGCCA